rnacentral:rRNA from 1 species
UCCGUAGGUGAACCUGCGGAAGGAUCAUUAAUGCUAAUCCAAUCAACUCAACCAAGCCUUCAGUUGCAGUAGGUCUGGAUCAGGCUGGUGGCCUGGGACAUUGUGUGCUAGAGACGUCGUGCUUGCACUGACUGUCUUCUCACGAUGCGUCCCGGGCUAUUCAAGCCAGUCUGGUGCGGCCUCUACAGACGCGCUAGCCCUCGGGCUGGCGGUCAACCCCCCAAUUUUGAUCUCAAAUCAGGUAAGGCUACCCGCUGAACUUAAGCAUAUCAGUAAGCGGAGGAAAAGAAACUAACAAGGAUUCCCCUAGUAACGGCGAGCGAAGCGGGAAGAGCUCAAAUUUAAAAUCUGGUAGGCCUCGCCUAUCCGAGUUGUAGUCUAAAGAGGCGUUAUCUGGAUGCGGCUUUGUGCUCAAGUCCCUUGAAUAGGGCGUCACAGAGGGUGAGAACCCCGUCUGGGCACAGGACCGUAUUCUAUAUGAGGCGCUCUCUAAGAGUCGGGUUGUUUGGGAAUGCAGCUCAAAAUGGGUGGUAAAUUUCAUCUAAGGCUAAAUACUGGCAAGAGACCGAUAGCGAACAAGUACCGUGAGGGAAAGAUGAAAAGCACCUUGAAAAGGGAGUUAAAUAGUGCGUGAAAUUGUUAAAAGGGAAACGCUUGAAGU